rnacentral:rRNA from 1 species
UGGCGGCACUAGCGCGGUGGUCCCACCUGACCCCAUGCCGAACUCAGAAGUGAAACGCCGUAGCGCCGAUGGUAGUGUGGGGUCUCCCCAUG